UACGAAGGGGGCUAGCGUUGUUCGGAAUUACUGGGCGUAAAGCGCACGUAGGCGGACAUUUAAGUCAGGGGUGAAGUCCCAGAGCUCAACUCUGGAACUGCCUUUGAUACUGGGUGUCUUGAGUAUGGAAGAGGUGAGUGGAAUUCCGAGUGUAGAGGUGAAAUUCGUAGAUAUUCGGAGGAACACCAGUGGCGAAGGCGGCUCACUGGUCCAUUACUGACGCUGAGGUGCGAAAGCGUGGGGAGCAAACAGG
rnacentral:rRNA from 1 species